rnacentral:rRNA from 1 species
UACAGAGGUGGCAAGCGUUGUUCGGAUUUAUUGGGCGUAAAGGGUCCGUAGGCGGUUUGGAAAGUCGGGUGUGAAAUCCCACAGCUCAACUGUGGAACUGCACUCGAAACUUCCAGACUAGAGUAUGGAAGGGGUGAAGGGAAUUCCCGGUGUAAGGGUGAAAUCUGCAGAGAUCGGGAGGAACACCUGUCGCGAAGGCGCUUCACUGGUCCAUUACUGACGCUCAGGGACGAAAGCUAGGGUAGCAAACGGG